rnacentral:rRNA from 1 species
UACGUAGGCAGCAAGCGUUGUUCGGAGUUACUGGGCGUAAAGGGUGCGUAGGUGGCUCUAUAAGUAUGGUGUGAAAUCUCCCGGCUUAACUGGGAGGGUGCGCCGUAGACUGUGGGGCUAGAGUGUGGGAGAGGAAAGUGGAAUUCCUGGUGUAGCGGUGAAAUGCGUAGAUAUCAGGAGGAACACCGGUGGUGUAAACGGCUUUCUGGACCAUAACUGACGCUGAGACACGAAAGCGUGGGUAGCAAACAGG